UAGGGAAUAUUGGGCAAUGGAGGGAACUCUGACCCAGCCAUGCCGCGUGCAGGAAGAAGGCGUUAUGCGUUGUAAACUGCUUUUUUAUAGGAAGAAGGAUCUCUUGCGAGAGAAGGUGACGGUACUAUAAGAAUAAGCACCGGCUAACUCCGUGCCAGCAGCCGCGGUAAUACGGAGGGUGCAAGCGUUGUCCGGAUUUAUUGGGUUUAAAGGGUGCGUAGGCGGUUUAUUAAGUCAGUGGUGAAAGACGGUCGCUCAACGAUUGCAGUGCCAUUGAUACUGGUAGACUUGAGUGUGAUUGAGGUAGCUGGAAUGGAUAGUGUAGCGGUGAAAUGCAUAGAUAUUAUCCAGAACACCGAUUGCGAAGGCAGGUUACUAAGUCAUA
rnacentral:rRNA from 1 species